GGGAGGGGUCCUCUUGGAGGCUUGUGCCUGGCCACGCGCGUACAUUAUGUGCAGACGUGCGUGUACCACUCACCUAGCCCUGCAUCCAGCUAAGAGAAAGGAAGCCAAAAACAUACAGAGAUGCCAAGCAGGCAUCCUGGGCACAGAUUUCCAGACCUGGCAGGGAACAGAGUAAGAGCUCGGAACCCUGGGCUUCACCGAGGAGCAAAGAGGCAGGCAUGGAGGGAGGAGGCAGGCAUUCACGGGUCCAUCCUGGAGCAGCGCCACCGGGUGCCAAGGCCUCAUGUGACAUCCGGCAGCCCACACAUGGCCACCAGCCGCUGCCUCCAUUGCUGCUGCCUCCCCACAGGCCAAGAGGAGGCAGGCGGGGUGCCCCACACAGCUCUCGGGGAAAGGAACCACGAAGAUGUUCCCUCUGUUUGCACGUCGCCUGCCCCCUCAAACUGCCCACCACCCUGGAUGGAGCCACGGGAGGCUCCUGCGGCCCGCGCUGGCACCUCCAACACCCCUGCCGACCUCAGGCACGGUCCAUGGCUGCUGUCGUGUCGGGGUGCCUCUGGCGCCAGGACGUUGCCCACACAGAAGCCACCUGCUCUGCAGAGAGCUCAGCAGGACGGGGUUUGAGGGCUCCUGCAUUCCUCCUCUCUGGGAUAGUGGAGACCACUCACCCUCUGUGCUCCUUUCCAGGAGCUGCCGCGACAAACUGCCACCAGCUUGGUGGCUUAAACACAGGGAGUCCUUCCCUCACCGUCCUUGGGCCAAAGUCAGAGGUCGGCAGAUCCGCAGCCCUUCCUGGCCUCUCAGCUCUGAGGGGUUCCCAGCACUGUGGGGGUUGCUUGGUUUGUGUCUGUGCAUUCCCGUCUCUGCCUCUGUCCUCACGUGGUCUUCUCCCUGUGUGUCUCUCUGUGCCCAAAUGUCCCCUGUCUUAUAAGGAGGCCGGUCAUGCUGGGAUGAGGCCCCUGGUCCUCCUAUAUGGCGACUCCUUCUUAGUCUGAUCACAUGUACAAGAACUCUAUUUCCAAAUAAAGUCACGGUCACAGGAACUGGGGGUUAGGACCUGCACGGA
rnacentral:lncRNA from 13 species